rnacentral:lncRNA from 1 species
UGGAAAUUCAUUAGAAAUCACCUGUUAGUGUUCCAUACAAAUAAUGACAGAACGAAACCUUUAAUAUGCAUCCAUAUCUGUCUGUCAGGAGGAGAUGUGUGUGAGUUUGGACCAGCAUGCUUUGCUCUCUCCUUCCACCUUGUGUUCACCCAUAGCUCUUUGUCAUCAGGAGAAUGGCUGCCAUCAGCAGGUUGACGACCUGUUUGACAUCCUAAUUCAGCGUGGAGGUGAUUUUUCAUAUUUAUUGUCAUUUAAAGCAAGUUAGAUGAGAGAAGCGUAUAGCUGCUCACACUCUUUUGUUUCCUGCAUCCUACAGAAAUCUCUGAGAAUUUCAAAGCCGCACCUGAUCCUGUUCUCGAAAGGCUUCGGCCGAACACGCCCCUUUCCUCAAGCUCCUCCCCUCUCA